rnacentral:lncRNA from 1 species
GGAGACUGGGGGAACAAUAUCGUUGCACUAGUGGCCUCACCUGGAAAUAACUGGUGCAGGACUUCCUUGCUAUGUUUUUGUCAAUGACUGUUGAAGAAUUAGAGGUGACCAGAAGAAAAGAAAGAUGAGAAGCCAGAAAUAUGGCCAGUGCAUUUGGCCAGUUGGAAUUGGCCAACCU